CCCUUAGAUGUUCUGGGCGGCCCGCGCACUACAAUGGCGCUUUCAGCGAGUUCCUAUGUUGAAUUUUCCUGGGUAUUCUUGGAAGCGGCGUCUUGACUUGGGAUAGAUCCUUGUAAUUGUUGGUUUUGAACGAGGAAUUCCUUGUAAUCGCGGUUGAUCAGCUCGCGUUGAAUACGUCCCUGCCCUUUGUACACACCGCCCGUCGCUCCUACCGAUGAAUCGUCCGAUGAAGUUCACAGAGUGGCGGUUCGUGGAGUUGCUCGCGAAGUGAAAUGGACCUCACGAUUUAGAGGAAGGAGAAGUCGUAACA
rnacentral:rRNA from 1 species